GGCCACUCGGCUCUCUGAGCCGCGACUUCCGAAGUCAAAGAGAAAGAAGAAGCUAUUUACAUAAGAAAUUCGGACCACCCACGAGGCUUCCGUACUCUCUCGCUUCAGGCUUGCAAAUGCUCCACGGGCGCUAGGCCUCGCUCUCCCAGGAUGCAGACCACGUGGCUCUCGUACCGACGAAUGGCAUUACGUGGCAAGUUGCUUGUGGCGAAAAAAAGGCAGCAGAUGCCGAGAGUGCGGUUGCCUGGCGGAACGAGCGCUUUCAAGAGAUCGUCGAGUCUUUCUCUCCAGACGACAUUUUCAACGGAGAUGAAACGGCGUUCUUUUAUCAGUUGUUGCCUGAUAAAACAAUGAACUUCAAAGGUGACAAGUGCAAGGGCGGAAAGAAAUCGCGUCUCCGCGUAUCGGUUUUGUUCUGCUGCAACUCCACUGGCACGGUAAAACUCAAGCCGCUAGUUAUUGGAAAGUCUGCCAAGCCGCGCUGCUUGAAAAACGUUGUCUCGUUGCCUUGCGACUACAGAGCCAACAAAAAAGCGUAGAUGACGCGAGAAUUGUUCACUCAGUGGCUGCUGCAGCUCAACGACACAAUGAAGAAGAAA
rnacentral:lncRNA from 1 species